rnacentral:rRNA from 1 species
GAUGAACGCUGGCGGAGUGCUUAACACAUGCAAGUCAACUUGAAUGUGGGUUUUUUACUUAGGUUUUCGUGGCGGGCGGGCGAGUAACGCAUAAAGGACUUGCCUCACAGCUAGGGACAACAUUUGGAAACAAAUGCUAAUACCUAAUAUUAUAAUUAUAGGGCAUCCUAGAAUUAUGAAAACUAUAGGCGCUGUGGGAGAGCUUUGCGUCCAAUUAGCUAGUUGGAGAGGUAGCGGCUCACCAAGGCUAUGAUGGGUAGCCGGCCUGAGAGGGUGAUCGGCAAAAAGGGGCUUGAGGAAGGGCCCGUAGUCCAACGGGAGGAAGCAGUGGGAAAGAUUCGACAAUGGCCCGAGCGUGUGAUCAAGCCAUUCUGUGCGGAAGAUGAAGUUUUUCGGAAUGUAAAGUUCUGUCAGUUGGGAAGAAACAAAUGACGGUACCAACAGAAGAAGUGACGGCUAAAUACGUG